CAUCAGCAUACUAAUGACACUUCACUUCAAGAUGACAGAUGGUCUCUCCCAGCGACCUCAAAUAGAUGUUAAAUAACAUAGAAGAGAUCCCUAGUCUUGUGGCAUCCCACACAGGAGCAACCAAGGAUUCAACUUCUGUUCCUCUAUAAUUAUUGACUGCAACUGCUGAUUCAGAAUGUAAAAGAACCUCUAUGGGCAAUACAUUCUGAAGAAACUGUUCUCUCAAAAAUUGGCCCUUCUGAACUCAGUCUUCGCAGAAUAUCGCCAUUCGUCAUCCGGAAAGGAAUACACGAUCAGAAUUACAAAUGUCUACCACAAGACUAAAAUGUGAUGAUAUGUUAUGUUCCUUACCAUAAGCACCCAUAAAAUGAGCUCCAUUGC